UUAACAUUAUAAACAUUUGUUGAACAAGUUUUGUAAAAAUAUGUUUAACGCAAUAUAAAAACUUAGACUACCUUUUGUGUUAAAUUUUCCUAGCGUGCAGGUUGUUGUGUUUAUUUUGCAAGUGAAAAAAGAAAAAAAAUCCAAUCUGCAAUCUGCCAAUUUUGUUCCCGUUUCGUCGGAUAAAAACUAGUCGCAAUUUAUUGUAAACGCUUGUUUAUUGUAUUUUUGUUCCGGGCAGUGCCAAUUAGAGUAAAACAUCAGUCGGAAGAUACUCUCAAAUCAAUGUUGUGUGCCAAAUGGAUCGGUUUGAUAGUGAACCACUGACGACGAAGGUGCUGAACGAGAAUGGUAACGGUUUCUCGGUGGGUAAACGAUAACGAGCAACAACAACCAUCCGGUCAAUGCCGAUGUUACAAGGAUCGAGUAUCCUUGUGAAAACAAAACGCUUCUCGCUCCUCGAAAAAUAUUCCUCAAUGUUCCCUGCGCAGCUGUGUCCAGCACUUAUGGAAAUUUUACCGGAGAUGUUCAAUAGGAUGUAGGAAUUGCCAUCGUGUACGUGAUCGUAGAACCUAUCAUUAUGGACGACACUUUUAAGGAUCCACAGAGGAUCCAACGAUGUCUAAUAGAGCAGCCGGGUGAAACGAUGUGGCCAUUUAAGAAGAAAAUCAGUGUUCUGAACUUAGCUUUGAUAGAAUAAAUUCAUAGCAUCUAAAA